GGGGAUGACAGGCUUCGACGGGAGAGGCUGGUCCCGGAUUGCGAGCCGAGAGGUGCCGACCUCGUAAAAUCAGCACACAAACUUAAGUGCCAACCGCACUGACUAUGCUGCUCUUCCUCUCGCUGCGUAAAACCAGCUAGAUAGAGCGCCUGGCUCGAAAGAGCCACGUCCGCCUGCAUCGAUCUCCGGCCGAUCGUAGGACGGGCGACACAAAGUCGGAGUGCCGUGCACGACACCGCUAACUGUACGUAAGAUAAGCUUUCGGGCUUAAGCGGUUGACCAGAUAAAAACUUUUGUCGGUUGUAGAUUUAUCUGGCGACAAUCAACAACUGACUACGCUCGUAGAUAUUCGAGGAUCGAAUCUUUCGGACGCGGGUUCGAUUCCCGCCAUCUCCACCU
rnacentral:tmRNA from 3 species